UUUCUCCAAUAGCGUAUAUUAAAGUUGUUGUGGUUAAAAAGCUCGUAGUUGAACCUUGGGCCUGGCCGUCCGGUCCGCCUCACCGCGUGUACUGGCUCGGCCGGGCCUUUCCCUCUGUGGAACCCCAUGCCCUUCACUGGGCGUGGCGGGGAAACAGGACUUUUACUGUGAAAAAAUUAGAGUGCUCCAGGCAGGCCUAUGCUCGAAUACAUUAGCAUGGAAUAAUAGAAUAGGACGUGUGGUUCUAUUUUGUUGGUUUCUAGGACCGCCGUAAUGAUUAAUAGGGACAGUCGGGGGCAUCAGUAUUCAAUUGUCAGAGGUGAAAUUCUUGGAUUUAUUGAAGACUAACUACUGCGAAAGCAUUUGCCAAGGAUGUUUUCAUUAAUCAGGAACGAAAGUUAGGGGAUCGAAGACGAUCAGAUACCGUCGUAGUCUUAACCAUAAACUAUGCCGACUAGGGAUCGGACGGUGUUAUUUUUUGACCCGUUCGGCACCUUACGAGAAAUCAAAGUGCUUGGGCUCCAGGGGGAGUAUGGUCGCAAGGCUGAAACUUAAAGAAAUUGACGGAAGGGCACCACCAGGGGUGGAGCCUGCGGCUUAAUUUGACUCAACACGGGGAAACUCACCAGGUCCAGACACAAUGAGGAUUGACAGAUUGAGAGCUCUUUCUUGAUUUUGUGGGUGGUGGUGCAUGGCCGUUCUUAGUUGGUGGAGUGAUUUGUCUGCUUAAUUGCGAUAACGAACGAGACCUUAACCUGCUAAAUAGCCCGUAUUGCUUUGGCAGUACGCUGGCUUCUUAGAGGGACUAUCGGCUCAAGCCGAUGACGUUGCAGCAAUAACACGUCAGAGAUC
rnacentral:rRNA from 1 species